GGGUAUAAGUAGUGAAUAGGAGUGGGUAUAAGUAGUGAAUAGGAGUGGGUAUAAGUAGUGAAUAGGAGUGGUAUAUAGGGGUGGGUAUAAGUAGUGAAUAGUAGUGGGUAUAAGUAGUGGGUAUAAGUAGUGAAUAGGAGUGGGUAUAAGUAGUGAAUAGGAGUGGGUAUAAGUAGUGAAUAGGAGUGGGUAUAAGUAGUGAAUAGUAGUGGGUAUAAGUAGUGGGUAUAAGUAGUGAAUAGGAGUGGGUAUAAGUAGUGAAUAGUAGUGGGUAUAAGUAGUGAAUAAGAGUGGGUAUAAGUAGUGAAUAGGAGUGGGUAUAAGUAGUGAAUAAGAGUGGGUAUAAGUAGUGAAUAGGAGUGGGUAUAAGUAGUGAAUAGUAGUGGGUAUAAGUAGUGAAUAGGAGUGGGUAUAAGUAGUGAAUAGGACUGGGUAUAAGUAGUGAAUAGGAUAGAGUAUAAGUAGUGAAUAGGAGUGGGUAUACGUAGUGAAUAGGAGUGGGUAUAAGUGGUGAAUAGGAGUGGGUAUAAGUAGUGAAUAGGAGUGGGUAUAAGUAGUGAAUAGGAAUGGGUAUAAGUAGUGAAUAUGAGUGGGUAUAAGUAGUGAAUAGUAGUGGGUAUAAGUAGUGGGUAUAAGUAGUGAAUAGAAGUGGGUAUAUGUAGUGAAUAGAAGUGGGUAUAAGUAGUGAAUAUGAGUGGGUAUAAGUACUGAAUAGCAGUGGGUAUAAGUAGUGAAUAAGAGUGGGUAUAAGUAGUGAAUAGGAGUGGGUAUAAGUAGUGGGUAUAAGUAGUGAAUAUGAGUGGGUAUAAGUAGU
ensembl:lncRNA